AUUGAACGCUGGCGGCAUGCUUUACACAUGCAAGUCGAACGGUAACAGGCCGCAAGGUGCUGACGAGUGGCGAACGGGUGAGUAAUGCAUCGGAACGUGCCCAGUCGUGGGGGAUAACUACUCGAAAGAGUAGCUAAUACCGCAUACGAUCUAUGGAUGAAAGCGGGGGACCUUAAGGCCUCGCGCGAUUGGAGCGGCCGAUGUCAGAUUAGGUAGUUGGUGGGGUAAAGGCUCACCAAGCCAACGAUCUGUAGCUGGUCUGAGAGGACGACCAGCCACACUGGGACUGAGACACGGCCCAGACUCCUACGGGAGGCAGCAGUGGGGAAUUUUGGACAAUGGGCGCAAGCCUGAUCCAGCAAUGCCGCGUGCAGGAAGAAGGCCUUCGGGUUGUAAACUGCUUUUGUACGGAACGAAACGGCUCUGGUUAAUACCCGGGGCUAAUGACGGUACCGUAAGAAUAAGCACCGGCUAACUACGUG
rnacentral:rRNA from 1 species